UACGGAGGGAGCAAGCGUUACUCGGAAUUAUUGGGCGUAAAGGGCGCGUAGGCGAUUUGAAAAGUCUUGUGUGAAAGCCCCGAGCUUAACUCGGGAAGUGCACAAGAAACUGUUGAAUUUGAGUUCCGGAGAGGAAGGCAGAAUUCCCGGUGUAGCGGUGAAAUGCGUAGAUAUCAGGAGGAACACCGGUGGCGAAGGCGCACAUCUGGCCCGAUACUGACGCUGAGGCGCGAAAGCUAGGGGAGCAAACGGG
rnacentral:rRNA from 1 species